ensembl:scaRNA predicted gene, 24682
AAUCUUUUGUCCACUAGGCUGUGGGGAUCUCGUUCCUCCUCAGUCAGGGAUAGAGGCCAAGAUCAGCCCUUGAGUGUCAUGGAUUACAGUCCUCAGAACUGCCAGUGGGCAGCCCUGUUUUCCUGCCUCAGACAUUC